GAUGAACGCUGGCGGCGUGCCUAAUACAUGCAAGUCGAGCGAACGGACGAGAAGCUUGCUUCUCUGAUGUUAGCGGCGGACGGGUGAGUAACACGUGGAUAACCUACCUAUAAGACUGGGAUAACUUCGGGAAACCGGAGCUAAUACCGGAUGAUAUUUUGAACCGCAUGGUUCAAAAGUGAAAGACGGUCUUGCUGUCACUUAUAGAUGGAUCCGCGCUGCACUAGCUAGUUGGUAAGGUAACGGCUUACCAAGGCAACGAUGCAUAGCCGACCUGAGAGGGUGAUCAGCCACACUGGAACUGAGACACGGUCCAGACUCCUACGGGAGGCAGCAGUAGGGAAUCUUCCGCAAUGGGCGAAAGCCUGACGGAGCAACGCCGCGUGAGUGAUGAAGGUCUUCGGAUCGUAAAACUCUGUUAUUAGGGAAGAACAUAUGUGUAAGUAACUGUGCACAUCUUGACGGUACCUAAUCAGAAAGCCACGGCUAACUACGUG
rnacentral:rRNA from 1 species